rnacentral:rRNA from 1 species
UACGUAGGGUGCGAGCGUUAAUCGGAAUUACUGGGCGUAAAGCGUGCGCAGGCGGUUUUGUAAGCCAGAUGUGAAAUCCCCGGGCUUACCUGGGAAUGGCAUUUGGGACUGCAAGGCUUGGAGUGACGGCAGAGGAGACUGGAAUUCCGUGGUGUAGCAGUGAAAUGCGUAGAUAUCAGGAGGAACACCGAUGGCGAAGGCAGGUCUCUGGGCUGACA